rnacentral:rRNA from 1 species
CCUACGGGCGGCAGCAGUGAGGAAUAUUGGUCAAUGGGCGAGAGCCUGAACCAGCCAAGCCGCGGGAGGGAUGAAGGUACAAUGGUUUGUAAACUUCUUUUAUAUGGGAAUAAAGGGAGGAACGUGUCACCGUUUGUAUGUACCAUAAGAAUAAGCAUCGACUAACUCCGUGCCAGCAGCCGCGGUAAUACGGAGGAGGCGAGCGUUAUCCGGAAUUACUGGGUGUAAAGGGUGCGUAGGUGGGUAAGUAAGUCUGCAGUGAAAGUUGGGGGCCCAACCCCUGAAUUGCCUUGGAAACUGGAUGGCUUGAGUGCAGGUGAGGUAAGUGGAAUGCCUGGUGUAGCGGUGAAAUGCGUAGAUAUCACGAAGAACACCAAUGGCGAAGGCAGCUUGCUGGACUAUAACUGACACUGAGGCACGAAAGCGUGGGGAUCAAACAGGAUUAGAUACCCCAGUAGUC